CCCAGACUCCUACGGGAGGCAGCAGUGGGGGAUAUUGCACAAUGGGGGGAACCCUGAUGCAGCGACGCCGCGUGGGUGAAGGAGUGCUUCGGCAUGUAAAGCCCUAUCGGCAGGGAAGAAGCAAGACGGUACCUGACUAAGAAGCCCCGGCUAACUACGUGCCAGCAGCCGCGGGAAUAAGUAGGGGGCAAGCGUUAUCCGGAUUUACUGGGUGUAAAGGGAGCGUAGACGGCGAUGCAAGUCUGAAGUGAAAGACGGGGGCCCAACCCCCGGACUGCUUUGGAAACUGUAUAGCUGGAGUGCAGGAGAGGUAAGUGGAAUUCCUAGUGUAGCGGUGAAAUGCGCAGAUAUUAGGAGGAACACCAGUGGCGAAGGCGGCUUACUGGACUGUAACUGACGUUGAGGCUCGAAAGCGUGGGGAGCAAACAGGAUUAGAUACCCGGGUA
rnacentral:rRNA from 1 species